AAAGUCGUAACAAGGUUUCCGUAGGUGAACCUGCGGAAGGAUCAUUCACACUUAAAGGAGUCUGGAGUCGUCAAAAAGCUUCAUUCUCUGAUUCUCCCAAUUUUAAACGCAAUAUGCUACAACUCCAAUUUAAGGCUUCCUUUCUCUUCUUCACCGUUGAGAAUGUAGGAGUAGUGUUUGGUAGUGUUGAUGGUCUUCACGGGCUGUUUUCACUGCUGAGCAUGCCAAAUCAACUGAUUUUAUCAACCUACCCCUCGUCGCCGCUUGUAGACCAUAACCUGCUCUGCUUGUGGUUGUCAUUCUGCCUAAGUCUGCUUCUCGUCGAAUUAAGCACUCGAUGUUGAAGCAAGUUCGACCAAUACGAAACAAAUAAAUACAACUCUUUGCAAUGGAUAUCUUGGUUCUC
rnacentral:misc_RNA from 1 species